rnacentral:rRNA from 1 species
UGGCGGCCUUAGCGCGGUGGUCCCACCUGACCCCAUGCCGAACUCAGAAGUGAAACGCCGUAGCGCCGAUGGUAGUGUGGGGUCUACCCCAUGCGAGAGUAGGGAACUGCCAGGCA